AGAGUUUGAUCCUGGCUCAGGAUGAACGCUAGCUACAGGCUUAACACAUGCAAGUCGAGGGGAAACGACAUCGAAAGCUUGCUUUUGAUGGUCGUCGACCGGCGCACGGGUGAGUAACGCGUAUCCAACCUGCCCAUCACUUGGGGAUAACCUUGCGAAAGUAAGACUAAUACCCAAUGAUAUCUCUAGAAGACAUCUGAAAGAGAUUAAAGAUUUAUCGGUGAUGGAUGGGGAUGCGUCUGAUUAGCUUGUUGGCGGGGUAACCGGCCCACCAAGGCGACGAUCAGGUAGGGUUCUGAGAGGAACGGCCCCCACAUUGGAACUGAGACACGGUCCAAACUCCUACGGGAGGCAGCA
rnacentral:rRNA from 1 species